UAGCCUUGAAUGUCCAUUCAGCUUUUGAACAGAAGGAAAGGCAAUACGCUUCUUAGGAUCUGCUGAACAUGGUGAAUAAGUGAAUGCAUCAACCAAUCGCAGGACACCUCAGAUUGUUGAUUGUAUUGACACUGAUCUUGGAAACUAAAGCGGAACGUGAAACUUGUACCACCAGAGAACGUUCGUGUUUGACCACAUGGCUAAG